rnacentral:rRNA from 1 species
GAUGAACGCUGGCGGCGUGCCUAAUACAUGCAAGUCGAGCGAACUUUUGGGAGCUUGCUCCCACAAGUUAGCGGCGGACGGGUGAGUAACACGUGGGUAACCUGCCUGUAAGACUGGGAUAACUUCGGGAAACCGGAGCUCAUACCGGAUAACAUUGAAGAACACAUGGCCUUCAAUUAAAAAGUGGCUUUUAGCUACCACUUACAGAUGGACCCGCGGCGCAUUAGCUAGUUGGUGAGGUAACGGCUCACCAAGGCGACGAUGCGUAGCCGACCUGAGAGGGUGAUACGCCACACUGGGACUGAGAAACGGCCCAGGCUCCUAAGGGAGGCAGCAGUAGGGAAUCUUCCGCAAUGGACGAAAGUCUGACGGGGGAACGCCGCGUGAGCUGAUGAGGCCUUCGGGUCGUAAAGCUCUGUUGUUAGGGAAGAACAAGUAUCGUUCGAAUAGGGCGGUACCUUGACGGUACCUAAUCAGAAAGCCACGGCUAACUACGUG